AGAGUUUGAUCCUGGCUCAGAUUGAACGCUGGCGGCAGGCCUAACACAUGCAAGUCGAACGGUAACAGGAAGCAGCUUGCUGCUUCGCUGACGAGUGGCGGACGGGUGAGUAAUGUCUGGGAAGCUGCCUGAUGGAGGGGGAUAACUACUGGAAACGGUAGCUAAUACCGCAUAAUGUCGCAAGACCAAAGAGGGGGACCUUCGGGCCUCUUGCCAUCGGAUGUGCCCAGAUGGGAUUAGCUUGUUGGUGGGGUAACGGCUCACCAAGGCGACGAUCCCUAGCUGGUCUGAGAGGAUGACCAGCCACACUGGAACUGAGACACGGUCCAGACUCCUACGGGAGGCAGCAGUGGGGAAUAUUGCACAAUGGGCGCAAGCCUGAUGCAGCCAUGCCGCGUGUAUGAAGAAGGCCUUCGGGUUGUAAAGUACUUUUCAGCGGGGAGGAAGGGAGUAAAGUUAAUACCUUUGCUCAUUGACGUUACCCGCAGAAGAAGCACCGGCUAACUCCGUGCCAGCAGCCGCGGUAAUACGGAGGGUGCAAGCGUUAAUCGGAAUUACUGGGCGUAAAGCGCACGCAGGCGGUUUGUUAAGUCAGAUGUGAAAUCCCCGGGCUCAACCUGGGAACUGCAUCUGAUACUGGCAAGCUUGAGUCUCGUAGAGGGGGGUAGAAUUCCAGGUGUAGCGGUGAAAUGCGUAGAGAUCUGGAGGAAUACCGGUGGCGAAGGCGGCCCCCUGGACGAAGACUGACGCUCACGUGCGAAAGCGUGGGGAGCAAACAGGAUUAGAUACCCUGGUAGUCCACGCCGUAAACGAUGUCGACUUGGAGGUUGUGCCCUUGAGGCGUGGCUUCCGGAGCUAACGCGUUAAGUCGACCGCCUGGGGAGUACGGCCGCAAGGUUAAAACUCAAAUGAAUUGACGGGGGCCCGCACAAGCGGUGGAGCAUGUGGUUUAAUUCGAUGCAACGCGAAGAACCUUACCUGGUCUUGACAUCCACGGAAGUUUUCAGAGAUGAGAAUGUGCCUUCGGGAACCGUGAGACAGGUGCUGCAUGGCUGUCGUCAGCUCGUGUUGUGAAAUGUUGGGUUAAGUCCCGCAACGAGCGCAACCCUUAUCCUUUGUUGCCAGCGGUCCGGCCGGGAACUCAAAGGAGACUGCCAGUGAUAAACUGGAGGAAGGUGGGGAUGACGUCAAGUCAUCAUGGCCCUUACGACCAGGGCUACACACGCGCUACAAUGGCGCAUACAAAGAGAAGCGACCUCGCGAGAGCAAGCGGACCUCAUAAAGUGCGUCGUAGUCCGGAUUGGAGUCUGCAACUCGACUCCAUGAAGUCGGAAUCGCUAGUAAUCGUGGAUCAGAAUGCCACGGUGAAUACGUUCCCGGGCCUUGUACACACCGCCCGUCACACCAUGGGAGUGGGUUGCAAAAGAAGUAGGUAGCUUAACCUUCGGGAGGGCACUUACCACUUUGUGAUUCAUGACUGGGGUGAAGUCGUAACAAGGUAACCGUAGGGGAACCUGCGGCUGGAUGACCUCCUU
rnacentral:rRNA from 1 species